rnacentral:lncRNA from 1 species
CCCGUCUGAUUUAAAACAAGACGUUUAAAAUGAAUCGAUAUGUAAUUUUCAAUAGUAUAUUCAUACUUCAUAUAAAGUUAAGAAAAAGACAAGUCACUUAAGAAACUCUUUUUAAAAACACUGUUGUUAUCCAUUCGUUUGAUGUGUUUGAGCUUUUGAUUUUGCCAUUUGAUUAGGGACUCUCCGUUUUGAAUUUCUCGGAGUUCAGUAGUGUUGCUUUUGCAACAUUUAAAAAUGGACGAAACACUGUCAUUUUAUAAUCAAUUGUCGAAGGUCUUAUUUUGUACUACUGUUUAUCUUAUCCAUCAUGUUAGGCAAUUCCCAAGGUAGGAAAAACCGGUUAUGAUUCAAUUUAGGAAGUGCAUCUUGCGUUGAGUUAUUUUUGGACAGACAAACAUUG